AGGACCGGAAAGCAUCCUGAUCCUUCGCUUUCUCAUCCUUCACUUCAUCGCUCGUAUUCUUUCUCGCUCCGCUCGCGGUUCCCCACUUUUCUCGAUGUUUACACUGUUGUCGGCGUCAUCCUGUUCGUUCCUUUCAUCGCCUCUGACGGUGCGUGUUUCUUGCUUUCUUACAUCGUAAUCAGAGAAUGGCGGUGCUCAAGAGGGCAUACGCGGACGUCAUCCUGAACACGACGAAGGAGUCGGCCGUCAGGAUUUUGGCGGCGGAGCGCCGGAUGCUACAGUGGAAGCAGAGCUCGUCGCUCGUCAAGGAAGAUUCUGUUGCCCUAAUUCUUCGACUCAAGGUUCUCAUGGACUCUAGGUUGAUGAAAGCAUUGGAUUGAUGAUGGCGGUUCAACAUGGAACAAAAUAAUAAUCUCUUAGUCAAUUUUUUGCUUGUUGCCUGAGUGCCAUGUAUUGGGUCGAUUGUCAGCCACUUGAAAGCGCCUUUUGCAAUCUUGGCACAAACGUUCCCAAGGGAUCUCUCCUUCACAUUUUUGACCUUGAAAGUGUAAUGAAAGAGACAAUGAUAUAUAUUAACCAUGCGUGAUAAGGCAGAGUUCAUCAUGUCAAGAUUAAAGAGACAGAAUCAGUAUACUUAUCACAAGCAACAAGAAUUCGACUAGAAGUUCAGCUCCGUGAGGCGAACCAUACAAUUCGUCGUUUAAAUUCUAAACUGCAGAAAGAUAGUUCUGAACUGGAGAAUCAGAAGAGUGAUAAAAGUGAGUCUCUACAAGGUAAAGACACAGAUGAUCGCAUCAGUUCGCAGAAAAAUAACCCUGAUGAAGGUAAUAUAUCUCUGAUCUGGCAACCUGGCCUCAGUUUUGUAGCUGUGUGUUCUCUAAAUUUUAUCUUAAUAGCUACAUCGAGUCAGGAAACUGUACCUCAUAGCACCUAUGCUAAAUAUUCAAACCAAAAGGAGCCUACAAAAGAUUCGACUGCAUCUGAUGAUUCUACUGGCACUCCUGAUUUAGUGUCCUUGAUAUUGAGAAACAAGGAGCCAGAGCCUUUUAGGAAUGGUUGUACUCAGCUGAUACGUCCAUUGGAGCGAAAUGUGUUAGACUGAUAGAGAUCUGCCUGCUGAAAGACAAUGCCCAGACCUCUAAUGUAAAGCAAGAAGCUGCAAUAUGUGAGAAUGAACUAGAUGAAAAGUACUGGCUUGGAGACCUAAUCCUGGCAGCCGAAAUGCUAAUAGAGGUUGCAAAAUCACUUGAUUCAGAAGAAGCACACUUGAUUCAGAAGAAGCACAACAAGGAAACAAAUCCGAAAUCAACCAGAAAGGUAAGUUUUCCAGUUGCGUUCUCCAAGAAGAAGAAGAGCUAGAAAGCUCGUCACAAAAAGCUGCAGUACUUCUCAUGAAACUGAAGAUCAUGAACAACCAGACAUUAGUGAUACUAAAAUUGCUGGAAAAACUGGCAUGCCCACGACUCAUGAAAGGCAGGGGCAAAGAAAUGCAGAUACUACAUGUUCAGAUGAGGCUUCUGUCAAAAAUAAAAUAACUUCUGUAGACAGAAAUAUGAAGUUGAAUGAGUUCCCUGAUCAUGUAAUCCCUGCAAUUUGAACACCGGCAGAAUAAUGACCAAGCGAAGUAUGAAACUGCAUAAUCUCAACAGUCCAACAGUCCAAAUGCUGGUCAAGUAAGCAUUGAAAACGAUCAAGUUGCACUAACCACACGACUGUGAAGAAUGUGAUCCUUUAGAUGGAGCCAUUAAGGAGGAUGCCAUUGAGUGCGAAACAAUGUUGAAGACACCAGAUCAUACAUUAAUCGGGUAUUCAGAUACUUCAGUAUUAAAAGGAAACAAUCAAAAGAUUGAUACUCCCUCCACUGAUUUUUGUUCUAAAGAUGAAGAACCUUGCAAAUCAAGUAGGCUACCUGCUGAAGUUGGAAAUGACAGAAUUGCAAAAUAUACUUUUAAAAGGACCAGAAAGAGGGGAUCUCCAGAUAACAAGAACAAAGAUGUUUAUUUAGAAGGAAGUAAGAAAUUGAGAAAAGCAGAUAAAGAAAGUGCCUUGCAUGAGAAACCAGACAAGAUAAUGGAGUCAACCAGAGACAGUAGGAGGCUAGCACAAGUUGCUCGUCAGGUUAGUAAAUGAUCCAUUUCUGUUUUGUGAAAUUUCGAAUCACAUGUAUUGCAAAUAAUGAUGUGCUCUGGGGCACACUUAGGAAUUGCUUCAAUCCCUAGUGUAAAGGAGCAAGAUUACUUACUAAUAGUGUAAAGGAGCAAGAGUGCUUACUGUACAACCAAGUUGGAGAAGCAACGUUACAUAAUCAUGUUUUAAAUGAAAAGAAGGAUGAAGUAAAAAAGGAGUAUACCAAAUAAUCUGCAGACUCAACCAUUCAGUUACUUACUGAGAGAGUUUGUCGCAAGUUUUAAAAUUCUUUGAUGGUUGGGAACACCAAGGAUGGAGUACUACUGUUACAGGUGAUGAUAGGUAGAUCCUUAGAGAGAUAAAAUUAUUUUUCCUAGGAGAGGAUAAAAGAGAAGGAGAAAACAGUCUCUUGCAAAGCAGGGUUACUGUGUAGGAUAGAUCCUUCCCUGAGAUCUCGCAUUGACGAGAGGUUUGUGCACCGGGCCGUCCUUAGGAGAGUAUAAAAGAGAAGUGAGGAUAAGGGGGGAACAAUUUGAUAUAAUUUGCUUGAUUAUUGAUGUAAAAUAUAUGUAGUCAGCUAUAAAUUAAUUUGAUCUUCAACUCUGCAUGACUAUAUAAUUGAAGGAAUCUAAUAUAACUAGGACAAUUAUACAAUAACUGUUUCUAAUGCUUUUUUCCAUGGUGUACAGACAUCAAUGUAGAACUAAUUAAAUUAUCCUAAAUAUCCUUAAAAAUGAAAAUAGCUAUUUUAUAUAUAUAUAUAUAUAUAUAUAUAGUCUUUCUUGCAUGAGAAAGGAUGACUUAGCCUUUUUCCAAGUACAUAUUGAUUUCAAGAACUCUAAUAUAAGAAUUGUGGCAUGCAAUACAGCUUGUACAAUCAAUGCAUUUCUGCAUUCUCCAAAACUGUAUCUCCUACCUGGCUCUUGUAAUUAGCUGGGGCAGUCUGUUGCAGUGUAUUACUCGCUGCAAACUAGUGAGACCUGCAGCAGUACAACAAUGCAUUAUUACAGAGUACUAAAUUCAUGUACAGUUACGAAUAUGGUUAUCGUGUGAAAAGAGAGUUUUAUAUGAUGUAUAGUCUUCAUCUACCAGUGUGAAGCCAGCAAAUAUGUUGGCCUGAACAUGUUUAUUAAUUAGCCCGUAUGAUCUCUGUGAAAUACAUGAUGCCUAGUAUAGAGGAUAACUUAGAAAAUAGAACUGAAUAUGGAUGAUUUUUGUAUUUGUCCCUUUUUUUUUAUCUGAAGACUCGUAAAUCGUACACUGUCAACUGACAAAUAAGACCUUAGAGUCUAUGUAUUCUUGAAAACACUUGCAAGUGUCAUUUUUUACAUAGUUCAGGUCGAUUCUACAAUUCAUUGCAUAUGUCUGUUCAUUUUUUAGUCUAAAUCCACUCUCGUUUCACAUGAAAGAUCUGAGGGUAAAUUAAGAGAAUGAAAUUGCAUUCUAUAAAUUAUUGUUGUAAGAAAAUAUGCUGUUUUAUUUGUUGUUUGAUUGCAUUAUUUUUAGGCUUUUUUUCUGCUCAAGCAAAAAAGUCCUAGCAUAUCUAGAUGUUAUUUUUAAGAAUUCAUUGUCACAUGUACAUGAAAGUUGAAUGCCAAUUCAUUUAAAUUUAUGUCACUUGAAGAAAGCUUUGGCUUGAUCGCAGUUCAACAUGGAACAAAAUAAUAAUCUCUUAAGUCAUUUUUUGCUUGUUGCCCAUGUGUUAUGUAGUAAGUCGAUUGUCUGCCACUUGAAAGGUUGUCUGUGUUCAUAUUGGUUGUCUUAUAUUGUUGACGAAGAAUCUUAAAUUAUUUGUGGUACAUUUUUGUAAUGUGUUGAUGUGUUACUAUAAUAAAUUGACUUAAGGUA